rnacentral:lncRNA from 1 species
AUGCCAGCUGUUAAAUUAUCUUCCUUUGCUCCUCACUGUUUACAAUCCCACCACCCACAUAUAGAUUUAUCAAUAGAGGUAACACCACUCAUCUGGCAAAGGAACAGAGUGUUCACAAAAGUCUACAGUAAAAUGCAAUUUAUUUGCUUUAUGGUACAAUGUGUUGUCGAAGGCUUUCAUGGCCGGGAUCACAGGGUUGUUGUAUGUUUUCUGGGAUGUAUUGGCAUGUUCCAGAAGUAUUCUCUCCUGACAUUUCGCCCAUAUCUAUACAUCACAACCUCUGAGGAUGCCUGCCAUAGAUGUGGGCGAAACAUCAAGAGAGAAUACUUCUGGAACAUGGCCAUACAGCCCGGAAAAUAUGCAACAACCCAAUUAAAGUGAUGUCAAACUGCAUUAAUGCUAGGGUGUAGAUAUACCCUAAACCAUACAUUUCCUCAUUAAUCUCCCUCUUUAUCAUAUAGACCUAGAGAUCAUUAAAAACAAUGACAAUGCCUUUUAUUUUUUUAAAAAAAAGUUCCAGAAUAUAAUGUGGAUCUCCAACAUUUAAAAACAAAUGAAGAUUUAAAAAAAAUCACAGUGUUUUCCCCAUGUAUCCUAAAAGAUAAUAGAUAAAAGGUAAAAAGAAGCAAAUGAUUGAUUGUUCAAAUGAUUGAUUGUAAUCAGAUAAAAUAAUCUGAUGGUAUUUCAACAUGCAAAAAGAUUUCCUCCAAAAGUUUAUGAUAUCAGUAGCCGUCAGCUGAAUUAUAGUCUAGUCAUUAAUCUCUUCUAUUAUUAUAGAAUGAAGUGAUGGUAAAUGCAUUUCCCUUUCAACCUGCUUUAGUGAAACUGAUGAAGGGUCUAUUUGACAAUGCAGUUUCUGGCCACAGUCAAGAUUUGAGCGUUUAGCUGGUACUCAAUCCACAUGGAGAAAAAAAGUCACUGUUUUCUAAGGUCUGGGGAAGCCUAUAGACAUCUAUAGAUAUAGGCUUAUCUACGUCAGAUGUCCAGAUAUUAUAUGUUAAUGAGAACAUGACAAAGCUGCAGACACUUCCAUCACACAGUUCCUUUUUAAAUAUGGAACACUUGAGGGGACUUUUGUGGUCGCUGUUAACAGACUUUGCAUUGCUAUACUCACUAAUAGAGAUGUGUGCAGUAUUUGUCUCAUUUGUUUUAUUCAUGUUUCUGUUUUAUAUCAUCCAUUCAGAUGGCGCAAUACAGAAAGACCCCCAACAAAGCAAAAACUGACUCAAAACGAAAGGCAGGUGGGAGCCAAUAUUGGCUCCAAGCCUACCUUUCAGAUCAAAGCUACCGGGCCUAUGGGUGCAGGCUUUGGGCCUACAUACCUGGGCCUCGCAGGGCCUGCAGACAAUUGCAGAGUAAGGAGCGCUCCUUAUUCAGCAAUUGGCUGGGCCUUGCAGGGCCUUGCAGCCGUUUGCCGAGUGAGGAUUGCUCCUUACUCAGCACUCAACUGUAAGUCCUGCGAGACCCGGGUGCCUAGGCCCAAAGCCUGCACCUGUAGGCCUGGGUA